UGGGGAAUAUUGGACAAUGGGGGAAACCCUGAUCCAGCUAUGCCGCGUGAGUGAUGAAGGCCUUAGGGUUGUAAAGCUCUUUUAUCAGGGAAGAUGAUGACGGUACCUGAAGAAUAAGCACCGGCUAACUUCGUGCCAGCAGCCGCGGUAAUACGAAGGGUGCUAGCGUUGUUCGGAUUUACUGGGCGUAAAGCGCACGUAGGUUGUAGAAUGAGUUAGAGGUGAAAUGCCAGGGCUUAACCUUGGAAUUGCCUUUAAUACUGUUUUACUAGAGAAAAGGAGAGGAUAGCGGAAUACCCAGUGUAGAGGUGAAAUUCGUAGAUAUUGGGUAGAACACCGGUGGCGAAGGCGGCUAUCUGGCCUUUAACUGACACUGAAGUGCGAAAGCGUGGGGAUCAAACA
rnacentral:rRNA from 1 species